GCCUUCGUGGUGUAGUGGUUAGGACACUCGGCGCGUAUUCGAGAAGUCCGUGGUUCAAGUCCCGGCGAGAGCA
rnacentral:tRNA from 1 species